GUUAAAUCCCGGCAAUUUGUAUCACACGUACACCUCGUGGACCGUAUGCUCUGCAGUUGUAUCACGUUGCAUUCAGCCAUUUUUAUGUAAAGCUUUUUGCUAUGAGUAAAAUUUAUGCAGUAAGUUCUGGAUGAUAAAAUUACAUUUGGGAUGUGACACAAACUAUUGUAUUUCUGCCUCGCAAUGACAUUAGGGUUUCAUGUUGCUGAUGUACAUGUCAUGAUACUGACAGAUCGCUAUGUCAUCUUAUUGGAAGAAACACGAAGUGGAGCUUUUGGAAACCCGACAAAGAUAUCAAAGCCGCUGUCAACAUGAAAGAACAUUAUGGAAGAAUUGCCAGCUGUUAAGCGUUCAGGUGUCAGGUGUUUGUUUCGAAAAUGAAACAACGAGGGUCGUCAUGGUGGUUUUCCCGGAGACUCAGCCGAAUGCGAAGCUCGUGAAGAAACAGCGUACUACUUCAUGAGAACCACGGAUUGUGCACACUGAGGGCAAACCCUACCAGAAACAGAGUUAGGGCCUCUAGUGUGAUAUUGUCUAGACAGGAUGUCUAUCAACUCGUCAUUACCGUCUGACAUUAACACAUCUGCGAGAAAGGACCUUUAUUGGAUAGGGAAUCCUCAGAAUGUAUAACAAUGAGUCUAUAUUCAAGUUGUAGCUCAAAAGUUCUACAACUGAGGAUUUUCCUGAACAUCAAAUCAGCAUGGAAUGCUUUAUAGGCCAACGUAGAUGCCUAAUGCGAAAUGUGGAAGAUGCCUAACAAAUUGUGAAUGCUACUCUGAUUAGACACAUUUGGAACUUAAGGUUUCUCGUGUUGGUUACUUCAAAGCAGUAAUAAUUGUACUACAAAAAAUAUGCAAGGCAUGCUGGUCUGUUCUUCUCAAUGACGAGACGAGUAGAAUCGAUCAAUUAACACUAAGGAAACCUAAGGUUACCUACAACUGAUGAGGUUGAUGUGGUCAUCAAGCUUCCAUCUCUAUGUAUCUAAAACCU